rnacentral:lncRNA from 1 species
UAGGUAAUUUAGUUGGUAACAGUAGGUUCUUAGUGGAACAAAUGGUUAAGAAUUCAAAGGUUCAUAACCUUUGAAAUCUGCUGGCCGAUGGUCCAUCUUUUGGUAGGAUGAAGUGGUUGAGAAAAGAGAGAUUGGGGCCAGACUGUGAGAGUUGUAAGCUAGGAUAAGCUUGGUGCUACCUCUUUGUUUUCUUUGCUUUUAUUAUUUGCUUAUGAAGAAUUGUGAUUGAGAGAAGUAUUGUUGAAACUGUGAUUAAAAUAUUGUAGAAUAUGACUUUGGACUGACCAUUUUAGAGAAAAUCUGUGACCUUGAGAAUUGGCAAAAACAAUAUUUUGACAUCGCUGCCAGGGAAAUGAUAACAAUAUGAAAUGUUAGAAAUUGAUUGUAUGGGAGAUGGAAUUAUAUGUUGAAUGAAAACAUGAGAAGAACCAAUUUUAGGGUUACAAAUAUGUGAAUUAUAAUUCAAGGCAGUAUUGAUUUUGUAAAAAAGAAUGAAAGAUUAUGAGUGAUAAUUAUGAAGGGAAGGAUUAUCA